AUUGAACGCUGGCGGCAUGCCUUACACAUGCAAGUCGAACGGCAGCGGGCCUUCGGGUGCCGGCGAGUGGCGAACGGGUGAGUAAUGCAUCGGAACGUGCCAUUGAGUGGGGGAUAACGUAGCGAAAGUUACGCUAAUACCGCAUAUUCUGUGAGCAGGAAAGCAGGGGACCGCAAGGCCUUGCGCUCUUUGAGCGGCCGAUGUCAGAUUAGCUAGUUGGUGAGGUAAAGGCUUACCAAGGCGACGAUCUGUAGCGGGUCUGAGAGGAUGAUCCGCCACACUGGAACUGAGACACGGUCCAGACUCCUACGGGAGGCAGCAGUGGGAAUUUGGACAAUGGGCGCAAGCCUGAUCCAGCCAUGCCCGCGUGAGUGAAGAAGGCC
rnacentral:rRNA from 1 species